AAUUCUACUCACUAGUGCAUGGUCUAGCGUUUCAAACUCAAAAGAUGACCAUGCAACGAUCAAAUUGAGAUCUUGUAGCUAGAGGCGGAUCUAGUGUGGGGGCGUUUAGUCCCCUCUCCCACCUCACUCCACACAUGCUGGAUACCCCAUAAAAAAACUACAAGGAGGGGGAAUAAGGUCAAUCCAGACAUGAAUGCAAGUCAGUGUGCUAGCCGCAGGUAGAAUUUGCAGGUGCAGUUCUCCAUCAGCACCCCAAUAUUAAAUGUUCAGGACCUGUCCUGAACUACACCCUGUCAAGCUUUGUGACGAGGCCCACUAAAAAAGGUUUACAAACCAUGGGCCUGAUGGGCCGGUUGGGGCUGUACAACAUCAAAAACUGUUUCCCGGACAUAGAUUUUGAGUCUACCGUCUCAGGCCGUUGGCAGCUAGUGCAGUUUAAGACUAGCAGCAGUCUCAAGAUUGAAAUUCUCCUGCCACUAUAAAAUAUUUGCACAUGAUUGUGUGCUUUAGUACAUUUUUCUGCGAUUUUUUGUGCUUUAUUGCAUCCACUGAUCAUGAUCUUUCCCUUGUGCUAGAUACACAUACACUUCUAUUAAUAUAUUGCUUCUCCUCUAGCUGGCUAUAUCAGUGGUCAACUAAUUAAGC